CCUACGGGUGGCAGCAGUGGGGAAUAUUGCACAAUGGGGGAAACCCUGAUGCAGCGACGCCGCGUGAGUGAAGAAGUAUCUCGGUAUGUAAAGCCCUAUCAGUAGGGAAGAAAAUGACGGUACCUGACUAAGAAGCCCCGGCUAACUACGUGCCAGCAGCCGCGGUAAUACGUAGGGAGCAAGCGUUAUCCGGAUUUACUGGGGGUAAAGGGAGCGUAGGCGGCGCUGCAAGUCCGGAGUGAAAGCCCAUGGCUUAACCAUGGUACUGCACUUGAAACUGUGGGGCUUGAGUGCGGGAGGGGGAGGCGGAAUUCGUGGUGUAGCGGUGAAAUGCGUAGAUAUUAGGAGGAACAC
rnacentral:rRNA from 1 species